rnacentral:rRNA from 1 species
UGGGGAAUAUUGCACAAUGGGGGGAAACCCUGAUGCAGCGACGCCGCGUGGAGGAAGAAGGUCUUCGGAUUGUAAACUCCUGUCGUUGAGGACGAUAAUGACGGUACUCAACAAGAAAGCCACGGCUAACUACGUGCCAGCAGCCGCGGUAAAACGUAGGUGGCAAGCGUUGUCCGGAAUUACUGGGUGUAAAGGGAGCGCAGGCGGAAGCGCAAGUUGGAUGUGAAACCCAUGGGCUCAACCCAUGGCCUGCAUCCAAAACUGUGUUUCUUGAGUAGUGCAGAGGUAGGCGGAAUUCCCGGUGUAGCGGUGGAAUGCGUAGAUAUCGGGAGGAACACCAGUGGCGAAGGCGGCCUACUGGGCACCAACUGACGCUGAGGCUCGAAAGCAU